UACAGAGGGUGCUAGCGUUGUUCGGAAUUACUGGGCGUAAAGCGCGCGUAGGCGGACCUGCAAGUCGGGGGUGAAAGCCCGAGGCUCAACCUCGGAACUGCCUUCGAUACUGCGGGUCUCGAGUCCGGGAGAGGUGAGUGGAAUUCCUAGUGUAGAGGUGAAAUUCGUAGAUAUUAGGAAGAACACCAGUGGCGAAGGCGGCUCACUGGCCCGGUACUGACGCUGAGGCGCGAAAGCGUGGGGAGCAAACAGG
rnacentral:rRNA from 1 species